GUGGCUGUUCUUUGAAAGACAAAAUGUGAAUAGGACCCAGAUCCUCCAAUGAAAAUUUGGUGUUUUUCAUUCCCAAGAAGGAGACCUUAGGGAUCAGUGAUCCAUGAGCUGUAGUCAACUGGCUGAACAUCCUGGGAUAAUACUGAUGUCCUGUACAUUUUUGACAUUUUUGCCUCAGCCUAGAGCUCUGUGAACAUAAGAAGUGAAUAUCCAGCCCUUGGUGGUGAUGAGAGGACACACUCAUCCAGGUUCAGACAACAUGGGAAGGUGCAAUGAAUCUGCUGAAGCCGCCAGUGUUUCUGUGCUGACUGCAGAGGAAGACCAGAUGAUAAGUUAAGGCAAAGUUACUAACAUUUGAAUGGCUAAAAUUAGGGUGAGUUAAAUGCCACCUACACACUUAUGAAGGAAAUGUGAGACAAGCUUAUGAAGCCGCAGUCAGCCCAGAGAUGGUAAGGUCCUGAUGAAAGAAGGGAAAAGCAAGAAGGAACACUUGGGAGAUUUAUUCAACCACCCUGUCCCAGACAGCCCUGCUGUGCAUGAUGGGGAUGAUUCAUUCAGGCAAUCCCAAUGCCAAGGAAAACAGCUCUAUGCAAUCUGAAAUGAAAAUGGGCCGUCAUGAAGCUGAGGAACAGCACAUUUCCCCGGGGUGGAUAAUAUCCAUGCAAAGCUACAGAGGCAGAAAGGAGACUUUAAGAUAUUUGGUAGAUUAUUCAUCAUUGUUUCUUUCAGAAGUGAGUUGGAUGGCUGCCCUUCAAGUGCUGAAGCACGAACAAUUAUGUAUUGUACAUAUUUGAAAAAAAAAAUAUCCCAGUAACUUGGACAUAUAGUCCCACUG